AACGAACGCUGGCGGCAUGCCUAACACAUGCAAGUCGAACGAGACCUUCGGGUCUAGUGGCGCACGGGUGCGUAACGCGUGGGAAUCUACCCUUGGGUUCGGAAUAACAGUUAGAAAUGACUGCUAAUACCGGAUGAUGACGUAAGUCCAAAGAUUUAUCGCCCAAGGAUGAGCCCGCGUAAGAUUAGCUUGUUGGUGGGGUAAUGGCCUACCAAGGCGACGAUCUUUAGCUGGUCUGAGAGGAUGAUCAGCCACACUGGGACUGAGACACGGCCCAGUCUCCUACGGGAGGCAGCAGUGGGGAAUAUUGGACAAUGGGCGAAAGCCUUAUCCAGCAAUGCCGCGUGAGUGAUGAAGGCCUUAGGGUUGUAAAGCUCUUUUACCAGGGAUGAUAAUGACAGUACCUGGAGAAUAAGCUCCGGCUAACUCCGUGCCAGCAGCCGCCGUAA
rnacentral:rRNA from 1 species